UUAAUUAGAUGUAUCACAUAUUCUACUCCUACUUUGAAUCGCACAUUUUGAUGUCCUGUGUUUGGAGAUAUCUUGGGUAUUGAUCAAUGUUGGAUGUUUAAAAUGUGGUUCGUUCUGUGUUGAUGUGAGAUAUUAUGAAACACACCUAGUAUGUUGACUUGACCCAACUUGCCCAGAUUUGGCAGUUACAGAUGCCAAAGGAAGGAGCCUCUCAUGAGAGAAUGUAUGGAUAAGACACUCCCUUGUCUCAGAAGAGCAGCAAUAUAUCAUCGUCACCCUGCUGCAUGUUGUCACUGGCCAUGUUUGAGGUUUGGCUGCAGAGGACAAAACAUCGGACUCUGGAGGAGGAACUCAUUCAGGUGGUCUGGCAGAUUUUCCGGAAUGGAAGAUUACUACAUUACCAGCAGCUCACAGGACCAAAGCUACGGUUACAGCAGCACCACCUCCAAAUACCACAUUGACCCUGUACGUGUGGUGACAUGCAUAAUCGUUGCUGUCGGCCUUCCUCUGACCCUGGUGGCCAUCUAUGCUCUUUAUUCUAUGGUGAGAAGAGAUCAAGUUGCUCCCAUCUAC